AUGGCCAAAGUGGAGCACAUUAUGCCUGACGUAGAGAUAGAGGAACUGGGUAAUUCAAUGAAGAGUGAGCUGAUAAGCUGUAUUUCAUCACAUAUUGAUUAUGACAGUGGUUCUGAAUUCUGCUUGAUACCAAGAAUACAUCCGCACAUUCGUAUGAUAGAUAGAAAUUCUUAUGACCCAAUAAUGUUGUCAAUUGGCCCUUAUAACAAUGGAUCUUCAGCACUUUCUUCUAUGGAGAGUGAAAAAUGGAACCGCUUGGACUACAUCCUUAAGUUGAAUUGUGAGAAGGGUCUGAAAGAUUACUUGACCAUCAUAAACAGACUAGAGAAAAGAGCAAGGAUGUGUUAUUCUGGGGAUAUUAAAAUGAAUAAGAGGAAGUUCUUGCAGACUCUCUUGCUUGAUGGAUGUUUUGUCCUUGUUUCACUCGGAGGACUCAAUGAAUUUAUAAGUGCUGGACCCCAAAGAGCCACGGCUAGUUCAUCACAUGCCGAAAUAGUUGAGGAAGAAAUGACUUCUGGACAGCCAAACUUAACAGAGAGAAUUGAUAUUCAACAAAUAAACACCAGGAACCAGAAUGACAUAAUAAACAUUGUAGUAGAAGAAAAUACAGUGCCUGAGAUCGAGUUAUGUUUGGAAAUCAGUGACCAUCAAACAGAGCAAUGUGUAUAUCAGGAUAACACUAGACAGAUCGGACAGUGGUAUGAUAUCUUUGUUAUACAUGAUCUACUCUUGCUGGAGAACCAAAUUCCCUUUUUCAUAGUUGAGGCAAUAUAUGAGGUAGUAAGUUCAAACAAGAUGACACCAACGUGUAAAUCAGGUGUUGCUAGAUUUAUAGAAAUGACCCUGCCAUUCUAUCCAACAGCAAUACGAGAAUCCAGUCGCCCAAUAGAUUUUGAUCAUUUGCUUCACCUGUGUCAUAUGUAUUUCAGACCCAGUUCUAACGAGCAAGAGCACAAGGAGCUCACAGCGCAACACUACAUUCAUCAGUUCCUUCAGCUGGGACAGGGUUAUCUCAGCCAUUUAGGUUUGUCGCAGGAUGACCAUUUUCCUAAUCGAUGGCGCCGAGCAACACAGUAUCAUGAAGCUGGCAUUGAGUUUAAGAGGAGAACAUAUUCUGAGCAUAAUCCCCAUUCACUCCUGGAUAUAAAACUCAGAAAUGGUAUCCUGGAAUUCCCCUUCUUGUUUGUGGAUGACCAAACCAGUGUCCUUUUCAGAAACUUCAUUGCACUAGAGCAAACAUGUCCGCAAGUCGGAAAUGAUGUGACUGCUUACAUUAUCUUCCUGGCUAAGCUGAUGAGCAUGCCAGAUGAUAUAGCACUGCUGGCUCGAAAGGGGGUCAUCGCACAUCAUAUGCGCAGCGACAGAGAUGUAUCGCAGCUCUUUACCAGGCUGACAAAAGGUGUUGUCUUCGAUUUCUAUGGGAACUAUUACCUAAAUCACAUGUGUUUAGCCCUGGAGGCAUAUUAUCAAAACCGUCUGCACAGGUGGGUUGCGUGGCUGAGGCACAACCAUUUGAGCAAUCCAUGGUUGGUUGUCGCAGCGUUGGCUGGUGUUAUUGUGCUUUUCUGCACCAUUGCACAGACCGUCCUUACUGUCGAGUCUUAUGUAAAUCCCAAGUAA
rnacentral:rRNA from 1 species